AGCACAAAGAAAGUGUUGUUAGCAUUCUGCAGAAUCGUGAAAUGGGAGCAAGUGGUGCCUAUUGCCCUAAUUUCCGUAAGCCAAAGAAGCAAUAUCCUUAUGGAAAGAGCCAAUGUGUCUUUCCACGGGCUCUUAGUGCUGCCAAACUUGGGUCUACUGCAUGGCCCCUUUUGCAUCCUUUGUCUAACUUCAGCAAUAUGCAUAAAGAAGGACGUGAGCAGCUUCGCCCUAGGCAG
rnacentral:misc_RNA from 1 species